GACGAACGCUGGCGGCGUGCUUAACACAUGCAAGUCGAACGGAAAGGCCCUGCUGUUGUGGGGUGCUCGAGUGGCGAACGGGUGAGUAACACGUGAGUAACCUGCCCUUGACUUUGGGAUAACGUCAGGAAACUGGGGCUAAUACCGGAUAGGAGCUCCUGCUGCAUGGUGGGGGUUGGAAAGUUUCGGCUGCUGGGGAUGGACUCGCGGCUUAUCAGCUUGUUGGUGGGGUAGUGGCUUACCAAGGCUUUGACGGGUAGCCGGCCUGGGAGGGUGACCGGCGACAUUGGGACUGAGAUACGGCCCAGAUACCUCCGGGAGACAGAGGUGGGGAAUAUAGCGCACUAGGCGGAAGACUGAUACAGAGACGUCGCGUGCGGGAGAACGGCCUUCGGGGAGUAAACCGUUUUCGCCUGUGACGAAGCGUGAGUGACGGUACUGGGUAAAGAAGCAACGGCUAACUACGUG
rnacentral:rRNA from 1 species